rnacentral:rRNA from 1 species
AGUGAACGCUGGCGGUAGGCCUAACACAUGCAAGUCGAACGGCAGCACAGUAAGAGCUUGCUCUUACGGGUGGCGAGUGGCGGACGAGUGAGGAAUACAUCGGAAUCUACUUUUUCGUGGGGGAUAACGUAGGGAAACUUACGCUAAUACCGCAUACGACCUACGGGUGAAAGCAGGGGAUCUUCGGACCUUGCGCGAUUGAAUGAGCCGAUGUCGGAUUAGCUAGUUGGCGGGGUCAAGGCCCACCAAGGCGAGGAUCCGUAGCUGGUCUGAGAGGAUGAUCAGCCACACUGGAACUGAGACACGGUCCAGACUCCUACGGGAGGCAGCAGUGGGGAAUAUUGGACAAUGGGCGCAAGCCUGAUCCAGCCAUACCGCGUGGGUGAAGAAGGCCUUCGGGUUGUAAAGCCCUUUUGUUGGGAAAGAAAAGCAGCAGGUUAAUACCCCGCUGUUCUGACGGUACCCAAAGAAUAAGCACCGGCUAACUUCGUG